GUUGUAUGGUUAAGUGACUAAGCGUACACGGUGGAUGCCUUGGCAGUCAGAGGCGAUGAAAGACGUAGUAACUUGCGAUAAGCCCAGAUUAGGUAGUAACAACCAUUUGAGUCUGGGAUUUCUGAAUGGGGAAACCCACUAGCAUAAGCUAGUAUCGUUAUGUGAAUACAUAGCAUAACGAGGCGAACCGGGGGAACUGAAACAUCUAAGUACCCCGAGGAAAAGAAAUCAACCGAGAUUCCGAAAGUAGCGGCGAGCGAAAUUGGACUAGCCCUUAAGCUUUACACGCGUUAGACGAACAGCCUGGAAAGGCCGACGAUACAGGGUGAUAGUCCCGUAGUUGACGACGUGUGUUCAGUGAAAUCGAGUAGGGCGGGACACGUGAUAUCCUGUCUGAA
rnacentral:rRNA from 1 species